rnacentral:lncRNA from 1 species
UACUGCCUACUAUGGGAAGAUCAGCCAAGCCUUAGCGUCAUUCACAAAGGAGCACGACAUCACUAAGGAGAAGCUAGCCAGAGCUGCGAAGGUCAUUGAAGAUGAGAAGAGGAGGCAAAUUCUCGUGAGAGAUCAGAGGGACGACAGAGUCAGAGUCCUCAUUGCUGAGUGGGAGGCAAAGCUGAAGACCAAGGAAUCAGAGAAUGUGAAGAUCACCGCUGAGAGAGAUCAUUACAUUGCUGAGAGAGAUCAUUACUUCAGGAAGAUGAAGGUUCACCAGAAAGAGGUGGGGAGAUUAC